rnacentral:rRNA from 1 species
UGGGGAAUUUUGGACAAUGGGGGAAACCCUGAUCCAGCCAUCCCGCGUGUGCGAUGAAGGCCUUCGGGUUGUAAAGCACUUUUGGCAGGAAAGAAACGUCAUGGGUUAAUACCCCGUGAAACUGACGGUACCUGCAGAAUAAGCACCGGCUAACUACGUGCCAGCAGCCGCGGUAAUACGUAGGGUGCAAGCGUUAAUCGGAAUUACUGGGCGUAAAGCGUGCGCAGGCGGUUCGGAAAGAAAGAUGUGAAAUCCCAGGGCUCAACUUUGGAACUGCUUUUUUAACUACCGGGCUAGAGUGUGUCAGAGGGGGGUGGAAUUCCGCGUGUAGCAGUGAAAUGCGUAGAUAUGCGGAGGAACACCGAUGGCGAAGGCAUCCACCUGGGAUAACACUGACGCUCAUGCACGAAAGCGUGGGGAGCAAACAGG